rnacentral:misc_RNA from 1 species
GCGUCAUUUCAACCAAUCAAGCCUCGGCUUGGUCUUGGGGUUUACGGUUCCGUAUCCUCUAAACUUAGUGGCGGUGCGAUUAAGCUCUAAGCGUAGUAAUUCUUCUCGUUAUAGGGUGUUGGUCGUUACUUGCCAGUAACCCCCAUUUUUUCUCUCAUUAGGUUGACCUCGGAUCAGGUAGGGAUACCCGCUGAACUUAA